rnacentral:rRNA from 1 species
AGUGAACGCUGGCGGUAGGCCUAACACAUGCAAGUCGAACGGCAGCACAGUAAGAGCUUGCCCUUACGGGUGGCGAGUGGCGGACGGGUGAGGAAUACAUCGGAAUCUACUUUUUCGUGGGGAUAACGUAGGGAAACUUACGCUAAUACCGCAUACGACCUACGGGUGAAAGCAGGGGAUCUUCGGACCUUGCGCGAUUGAAUGAGCCGAUGUCGGAUUAGCUAGUUGGCGGGGUAAAGGCCCACCAAGGCGACGAUCCGUAGCUGGUCUGAGAGGAUGAUCAGCCACACUGGAACUGAGACACAGUCCAGACUCCUACGGGAGGCAGCAGUGGGGAAUAUUGGACAAUGGGCGCAAGCCUGAUCCAGCCAUACCGCGUGGGUGAAGAAGGCCUUCGGGUUGUAAAGCCCUUUUGUUGGGAAAGAAAAGCAGCAGGUUAAUACCCCGCUGUUCUGACGGUACCCAAAGAAUAAGCACCGGCUAACUUCGUG